AGGAUCUUCGGCAAUGGGCGCAAGCCUGACCGAGCGACGCCGCGUGUGGGAUGAAGGCCUUCGGGUUGUAAACCACUGUCAGAGCGGAGGAAAUACAUUGGGGUUCUCCCCAGUGCUUGACCUAUGCUCAGAGGAAGUACGGGCUAAGUUCGUGCCAGCAGCCGCGGUAAGACGAACCGUACGAACGUUAUUCGGAAUCACUGGGCUUAAAGGGUGCGUAGGCUGUGCGGAAAGUUGGGUGUGAAAUACCUCAGCUUAACUGAGGAACUGCAUUCAAAACUACCGUGCUUGAGGGAGACAGAGGUGAGCGGAACUUAGGGUGGAGCGGUGAAAUGCGUUGAUAUCCUAAGGAACACCGGUGGCGAAAGCGGCUCACUGGGUCUCUUCUGACGCUGAGGCACGAAAGCUAGGGUAGCGAACGGGA
rnacentral:misc_RNA from 1 species